UCCCAGGUGGCUCAGUGGUAAACAAUCUGCCUCUAAUGCAGGAGACCCAGGUUCAAUCCCUGGAUUGGGAA
rfam:TPA: Bos taurus chromosome 1, whole genome shotgun sequence.